AUCCUUUGCUUUCAUAACAACAAACAACAAAUAGGGCUUAGCCAUAUAUGUGUGCGUAGCUUCAACAAAUUAAUCAAGCAAAAUCAUUGCCUCCCAGUCUCAAGGAACCAAACGAAAUCCAAUAAUUUUUCAACCUACCACAUCAAACUGGUACAAUAGCAUGGACUGAAGAACGGAUUUUAUUUUAACAAAACGAACACACAAGCCAGCUGUAGUUGGCCGCCGUGGACACCAUCCGAACAGCAAAAAAUGGUUUCGUACAAUAGCAUGGACUGAAGAAUGGAUUUAUUUUAACAAAAAGAGCACACAAACCAGCUGUAGUUGGCCACCAUGGACACCAUCCGAACAACAACAAAUGGUUAUACAUCUGGUUUUCUAGGAGGAGAAUGACUUGAUGUUCCCUCCGUUCUCAGUGCUACCAACAACGUCGGCUCCUUAGUGCUAGUUCAAGAGAGAGAGAGAGAGAGAGAGAGAGAGAGAGAGAGAGAGAUUGGUUAGGUCAUAUGACAUAAGAGCAGCAACUUUCUGCUUCUAUGUGCUGGUUGCAGAGAAACAAAACAGAGAGGGCCAGAUCGGCCUCGCCACUCCGUCACCAGCUGCCGCAGGUGAAGACCUCCCAGCCAUCCUCAACCUUGCCUGGCACACGACAUGGCCCCGCCACCCCCUCACCAGAGCUCAAACGGCUGCAUGUGUCUGUCCCCAUGCAGCUGCUCAAUGCAGGUCAGGGCGGAGAUCUGCCAGCACCACUCACUGCUCAUUCUCCUGCCUCCCCGCCGAUUGUCCUCCCACACAAUCUUCCUGCCAUGUUGUACACUCUCCGGCAAGCCUGUGCGGGUACUCGACGUACGCGUUGCCCCCAUCCCCACUCGCCAAGCUCCACCCUGGGCACAACCCGUUCCCCGUCGUCGGCGUUCACCACGAGAGAGAGAGAGAGAGAGAGAGAGAGAGAGAGAGAGAGAGAGAGGAAAUAGGCUGGAAAGAGGGGCAAGGGGCAAUACCUGCAGAGCUCUGCCUACCAGCCAUGAAGAC
rnacentral:lncRNA from 1 species